UUGGUUGAUGAGUCGACCCCACUACCUCCAUGGUUCUCAGAGGAAGAUCUUGCAGCUUAUGCAUCCUUGUAUGAGAAGUCUGGGUUCCGCUUUGCCCUGCAGGUUCCAUAUAGGUAACCAUAGCAAACACUGACUCGGGGGAAAUAAAAUGAGAAAAAUGUAAUUCUAGUUACCAAAAUUGUUCUAGCUAAAAACCAAUCAAUCAGCAACUGCUGAUUAAGAUCUAUAUGUCAUCUUACUCGCAUUUUUGGUCUAGGUCUAUGGGGAAGGAAUAUGCCAUAGUGGAUCCAAAAGUUACAGCUCCGGCGCUGCUGAUCAUGGGAGAGAAAGACUAUGUCCUGAAGUUUCCAGGCAUGGAGGACUACAUAAGGACUGGGCAAGUGAAGCAUUUUGUCCCUAACUUAGACGUCACCUUCAUGCCGGAAGGGAGCCAUUUUGUCCAUGAGCAACUUCCAGAGCAAGUGAAUAGUCUUGUAGUUGACUUCCUGAACAAGCAAAAUAUCUAAAUGUGAGUCCCUGACUACGGCAGAAGUUCGUCUUGGUGAGAAUAAAUAAACUCAUUUGACGCUUUUCACUACUUGCGAUCACUAAGAAUUCCUGGCUUCCUACUUAAGGAUGAUGAGGCCUUCUAUUUGAAUGUCACCAGUAGUGAACUCUCAUGUUUCAUUAGCUUUGAAAAUGACUCUGCAAAUUUUGAUCAUUAGAGUCCAAUAAAAGCAAAUAUCCUGCAUUUCACUGGCAGAAUGAAUUAGAAAUAUAAAUGCACACCGAAUUUCAAGGGGGAGUUUGAUAGCAAUUUCUCUGGCAGUACUUUUUAUGCAAUUCAGCAGAGCAGGUCUGCAGCUUUUAGCGCACUCAUGUUACGUAUAAGCAGCGCCCAUAAGUAAUGUAUCUCUUCUUCAGUAUACUUUGUAAACGCCUUCGGGGCACUUGUAAAAGAAGAGAGAGAAUUGGAAUGGUGGUUAAAAGAGAGUGUAAUGGAGAAAACUGAGGAAUGAUUGGUGGAGAAAACAGAGCAUCUCAGCGUGGUUUGAGAGAGAGAUUAUGGAAAAUAGAAAAAUUUGUGAUUUAACUUCAAUUGUAGACCGGUAGAUCCUUAUAACACUGCUUCACAACCUAAACUCAUUGGUGACUACACAGAACAUUAGUUCACUCAUUACGCAAAAUAUAACUUGUAAUAUCCAACUGACCAGAUAGGCAUGAAUCAUGAAAAAAGUCAGGGACAAAGCAUAUUACAAAUUUACUAGCACGUAGAUCUUGCAUGUCCAGACUACAUGGAUUAUAUUAACUAGGAUGAUUAUGUGACAAUAAUUCAACUCUUCAUCGAUUGAAAGUGAUUGUUUUAGUAGUGUCCUUGUAGUCUAGAGGAAUCAUGUUAACUAGAAUGAAAAAAGAAAUUGAGAGUACUUCAACUUUCAACCACUAAAACAUGGAAAAGAUCAAUGUAGGGCUUUUUUUAACCUCUUAGAAAGUAAUUUUGUUAAUUAGGCAAAUGAGCAGCGGAAUUUUAAACGAUAUUUUUGUUAGCUUCUUAAAAAGUGACCUUGUUAAUUCGUUUAAUAUGCGUUUCAAGUGAAAAAACUUUACGUUCUUCAGCUGAUGCUGAGGAGCUAGUGUGGAAUAGAGGGCUCUUAAGGAGAGUUGGUAUAUGCCAUGGGAAAAAUGGGAAUGCUAUGUAUUUCUGUCGCUCUAUCGAGCAACUGGUAACAAGUUCUGAUACAGGAGUUCCUAACUGUUUAGGCAGGAAUAUGCCAUCACUAAAUCAUUCGAAUGCUUCCGCAACUAGGACAAAAAAAAAAAUAGCGAAGCAAAUCCUGCAAGAUUUUUCUAACAUUACAUUGAUUGGGCAUGGCAUGAUAUUUUUCUUCUCUUUUUUUUUGCAUCUAAAAAUGAAAAAAAGCAUACGGUCAUUGCCGCAGCUACUAGUUGUCCAGAUUAUUAGGAAAUAAAGAUAAGCAUGAUUGGAAAGACCAUUCUUAACCCUAAACAUGAAUUUUCUAAUGGUUUUUUUGUUCACGUUUUCUUAUGAUUCCAUUUCUCGUGAAUUAGAAUCUCAACAUUUCAGCAGACCGUCUGAUCUGUUAUUCUUUCAACACUUAAAUUUUCAGCUUUUUACGACAUGAACUGUCAAAUCAUCAACUUAAUGAACUUGCCAAUCUAAUGGUAAAAAAAAAAAGUGAAAAGCAUUGGAACAUGGGAUCAGGGAACCCUCACUACUUAUCUUUCUAUUAAGAAUAAAUCGUUUGGACUCACGUGCACAAUUGUAAUUGGCAGAUUAUCCAAGCCGAGGCUGCUCUUGAGACCGUUGAAAUACUUGCUUGUCCUAUUUGGGGGGAGGUUCUAUCUGCCUUGUCUUUUUCGUACAAACCAAUUAGUCUAAAAUUACAGCAAAGGCCACCUACAUAGUCGUACUCAUCCCUCUCUCCUCACCUACCUCUCUCUCUCUCUUUCUCUCUAUCCCCCCUCUGUUGGUGAGUGCGCGUGUUAUAGGAAAGAUGGAGAAAAUCAAGCACAGCCAUGUAGCAGUGAGAGAUGUGAAGCUUCAUGUUGCUGAAAUUGGAGAAGGUACAGGGAAGUGUAGGGAGAGAGAUGCACAUCCAUGACUUGUUCAGUGACAUUCCCUCACAUGUGCUGCUGAGUUCUCUGCAGGUCCAAAGGUGGUGGUGUUCUUGCAUGGGUUCCCAGAGAUAUGGUACACGUGGAGGCACCAAAUGAUAGGCGUGGCCGAUGCAGGGUACCGCGCCAUCGCCUUCGAUUUCAGAGGCUAUGGGCUCUCCGAUCAGCCGAAUGACCCUGAGAAGGGUUCUUUUGCUGAUCUUGUUGACGAUGUUGUUGCCCUCCUUGAUGCUCUGGGCAUUGAAAAGGUACCACUAAAUUAAUCUGUCACACUUAAAUUCUUUUUUUCCCUUUCAGAAACACUAACCUUGGCAAAAUUUUUGCUUUUGAUAGUUGAGCCUUGAGAAUCUUUCAUAUAAUAAUUCAUCAUCUUCUUCCUUGUCCUCAGUUAGUUCCAAAAAAAUGCUGCCUUUCAUGCAUGUUCUCUGUUUGUUUUUGGCCAAUUGCUUAUUUUGAUAUUUCAGUCAGUCCAGGACCGUCAGUAAUAAAACGGAUUCUUGUCAUGACACCAUCAAUAUUACAAUGCAAUCGUCAUUGAACCAUCAAUCUACAGAGGUUGAGCUUCUUGAUGUGGAUGUUUCUUGGUCAAACAAGAAAAACAAUUCUUUUGUUUCUAUAUAUAUUCACAUGACCAUUAGCUUAAUGAAAGUGCAUAUGCUUGAGGUGUAAGUACUGUCCUUUUGUACGUUGUCUUCAUCUCUCUCUGUCCUUCACCUAUCUUCUAAGAUAGGUACGUUUUAUUUAUGAACUGAUAAAUUUAAAGAAGGAUCCGUGUCAUAACAACCAAGAACAUUUUAUACUUUUAAGGUCACACAUACAAGGGACGUCCUCCUUGACCGAGCUUGAGACCUACGAGUUAGAAAACGAUCUCUAUUGCGAAUGAUAAUCAAUUUGUUUCUAAAACUGAUGAUAACUAACUUACUUUUUUCCUUAGUCAGGUCAUUCCCUAUGCAAGCAUAGCAAUUUAACAAGAGCAUAAAUAAGAUGAUGAUCUAGCAAUAAACAAGAGACAAGACUACAAAAUCAACUGUCAUGAGAACUGAAACAGAUACAAAAUCAAGAGAUUACAGGAUGAUUAUGUGAGUUAAAAUGUAAUGUCCAUUGAUAAUAUGGAGUGUUGAAUCCAGGCCUUCCUGGUGGGGAAGGACUUUGGAGCUCUGCCAGCAUACCUAGUAGCAGCGGUCAAGCCAGAGAGGGUCUGUGGAGUCAUCACACUGGGCGUCCCCUUCAUGCUACCCGGAACCUCGGUCCUCCCAUGGCAUCUCUUUCCCAAAGGCUUUUACAUGCUCAGGUGGCAGGUAAAAUUCUCUCUCUCUCUCUCUCUCUCUCACCCCCGCCCAUCCACCACCUCUACUAACUCCUCGAUUGACUUCAGGAACCUGGGCGAGCAGAAGCUGACUUUGGUAGGCUAGAUGUCAAGACAGUCAUAAGAAACAUCUACAUUCUCUUCUCCAGGAGCGAGCUCCCUGUUGCAGGUGAUGAUCAGGAGAUCAUGGACUUGGUUGAUGAGUCGACCCCGCUACCUCCAUGGUUCUCCGAGGAUGAUCUCGCGGCCUAUGCAUCCUUGUAUGAGAAGUCUGGGUUCCGGUUUGCCCUGCAGGUCCCAUACAGGUAAUCAUAGCAAACACUGAUUCACGGAAAAUUAAAGGAGAGAAAUCCGAUUCUAGAUACGAAAAUUGUUCUAGCUGAAAACCAAUCAAUCCGCAACCACUGUUUAAGGUUUAUAAGGGAGAGAAUUUACAAGAUAUGAUCUAUUUGCAUCUAACUAUCAAUUCAUAUUGAAAAAAAAAAAAGAGAAAUCCUUUAUUCCGAAAUGUUUUGAUAAGUCAUCUUACUCGCAUUUUUGGUCUAGGUCUCUGGGGAAGGAAUAUGCCAUGGUGGAUCCAAAAGUUACAGCUCCGGCGCUGCUGAUCAUGGGAGAGAAAGACUAUGUCCUGAAGUUUCCAGGCAUGGAGGACUACAUAAGGGCUGGCCAAGUGAAGCAUUUUGUCCCUAACUUAGACAUCACCUUCAUGCCGGAAGGGAGCCAUUUCGUCCAUGAGCAACUACCAGAGCAAGUGAACAGUCUUGUAGUUGACUUCCUGAACAAGCAAAAUAUCUAAUUACGAGUCCCUGACUAUGGCAGAAUUUGGUCUUGGUGAGAGUAAAUGAACUCAUUCAACGCUUUUCAGUAUCUGUAAUCACCAAGGAUUCUUAGCUUCCUACUUAAGGAUGAUGAGACCUUCUAACUCUCAUGUUUCAUUAGCUUUGAAAAUGUAUGAAUUUGGAAAAUGAAGACUCUGCAAGUUUUGAUUAUUAGAGUCUAUAAAAGCAAAUAUCCUGAUCUCACAAGCAAAAAAAUUCAGAUUAUCCAUGCAUAUUGAUUUACAAGGAGGAGUUUGAUAGCAAUUUCUCGCAGAGUACUUAUAACCAAAUUUAGCAGGGCAGGUCUGCAGCUUUUAGCGCACUCGUGUUACGUAUAAGCAUCACCUAAAACUAACGUAUUUCAUCUUCAGUGUAUUUAGUAAAUGCCUUUGGGGCACCUGUAAAAGAAGGGAGAGUAUUGGAUCGGUGGUCAAAGGAGAGUGUAAUGGAGAAAACUGAGGAAUGAUAAGAGUGAUGGAGAAAACAGAGAAUCCCUUUGUGGUUGGAAAGAGAGAUUAUGAAAAUAGACAAAUUUGUGAUUUAACUUUAAUUUAAGACCGAUAGAUCUUCACACCACUGCUUCACAACCCAAACUCAUGGGUGACUACUACCCAGAACAUAAGUUCUUUCAUUACACAGAACAUAAGUUGCUGAUAUCCAACUGACCAGAUAGGCAUGAAUCAUGAAAAAUGUCAGGGACAAAGCAUAUUAUAGAUUUACUAGCAUGUUGAUCUUGCAUGUCCAGACUACAUGCAUCAUAUUAACUAGGAUGAAUAUGUGACAAUAAUUCAACUCUUCAUCAAUUGAAAUGAACUCGAAAAUCCAUCUCCACAGGACUUUUUUCAGCUUCUUAAAGAGUGAUUUUGUUAGUACAUUCCAUGUCGUCUAGAGGAUUCAUGUUAACUAGAAUGAAACUUUCAACCACUAAAACAUGGAAAAUAUCAAUGUAGGGCCUUUUUCCUGACCUCUUAGAAAGUAAUUUUGUUAAUUAGACAAAUGAGCAACAGAACUUUAACAGGAUAAUUUUGUUAGCUUCUUGAAAAGCGACCUUUUUAAUUUGUUUAAUAGCCGUUUCGAGUGACAAAUUUUUACGUUCUUCAGCUGAUGCUGAGGAGGUAGUGUGGAACAGAGGGCUGUUAAGGAGAGUUGGUGUAUGCCAUAGGAUUGGUGGGAACGCUUAUGUAUUUCUCUCGCUCUACUGAGUCAGAGUCACAGGCAACGAGGAGUCCUGGUACAGAAGUUUUUUUUUUUUUUUUUUUUGUCCUGGUACAGAAGUUAAUUAACUGUUUAGGCAGGGAUAUACCAUCACGAAACCAUUUGAAUGCUUCCACAAGUAGGACAAGGAAAAUAGUCAAGCAGAUCCCGCAAGAUUUUUCUAACAUUGAUUGGGCAAGGCAUGAUAUUUUUCUUUUCUUCUUUUGCAUCUAAAAAUGAAAAAUGUUGAUGGUGAUUUUGCUGUUUUGCAGUUACUAGCCAUCCAGAUGAUUAGGAAAUAAAUAAAAGCACAAUUGGAAAGACCAUUCUUUAACCCUAAGCUUCGAUUCUGUGAUACUUUUAUUGGUAGACAAUGUCUUAUCAUGUCUUAUCAUAUCAGUUCUGGUCAAUUAUAUUCACAUCCUUUCAGCGGACUACUCACUAAACACUUCAAAUUUUCAGCUUUUUAAGACAUAAGCUGUCAAAGCGUGAACUUAAUGAAUCGUUUGGAGCAAUGCGCACAACUGGAUUAGCAAACUAUUCUAAGCCAAGGAUGCUCUUGAGGAUCUACAACUUUGCGUUGAAACAAUUGCUUGUCUUAUUUGGGAGGAAGUUAUAUCUGCCUUGUCAGCAUUUUCGGAGAAAUCAAUGAUUUAACUACCACAAAGGCCAUCUAUAAUGUCAAGCUAAUAACUCCUCACCUACUUCCCUCUCCCUCUCCCUCUCUCUCUCUCUCUCUCGCUCUCUCUUCCUCUUCCCCCCCCCCCCCCCCUAUAAUUUUCACAGUAAUGACAUUUCAACAAUAUGGUCAUACAUUUUAAAAUUUACAUAUGUAAUGACAUCAAAAUGAUCAAAAAGGUAAAAAGAUACCUUGAUGUGAGAUUCCCAUAUACUUGGAUCGUCGACAACAACUCUUUUAUUCAAUUAUCCCAACCAAAUCCAGACUGAGACAUAAGUUUUUGAAAACUGCUAUACUGUUUUCUCAAUUUGGUUACCUUGUUCCUCAGGUGGACCAUGCUAUAUGGGCAUCCUGUUUGGCUAACGAAUUCAUUAUGGAUAUUCCUCCACCCUACUUUGUUGAAAGGAGAAGAUGUGCGAUUUUCCUUUUUGACCUCAUCCACCAACGAACUGAUAAAUAGGUUGGUUACAGACUGGGUCCACUUUGCACUGAAUGUCUGUCUCUUAGAUGCCAUUUAAUCUUUGACUAGUUGAGUAGGAUAUGAGUUAUGAGUUAAAUCGAUGACGUAAUACUGUACAUGGCAUUCACAAAUCAUUUCUCAGAGAUGCAAGCGGAGUAGACUAUGAUGACAAAAUUGACAAUCUUGAACUAACUUGGAUAAACAGAUCUACGUUGCUUUUUCAGCUACAGACUACGUAGUACUAUGACUAUCAUGGAUCAUUGAGCAAAAUGCUCCAAAUGAGUGAAGAGGCUUGUGAGGAACCCAGCAUGGCCAAUUAGCAGGUCAUAUUUCCAACACCUNNNNNNNNNNNNNNNNNNNNNNNNNNNNNNNNNNNNNNNNNNNNNNNNNNNNNNNNNNNNNNNNNNNNNNNNNNNNNNNNNNNNNNNNNNNNNNNNNNNNCUCGCUUGCGUAAAGGAAAGUGUAGAGAGAGAGAGAGAGAGAGAGAGAGACGCACAUACAUGACUUGUUCAGUGACAUUAUCUCACAUGUGCUGCUGAGUUCAUC
rnacentral:lncRNA from 1 species